rnacentral:rRNA from 1 species
GACGAACGCUGGCGGCGUGCUUAACACAUGCAAGUCGAACGGAAAGGCCCUGCUUUUGUGGGGUGCUCGAGUGGCGAACGGGUGAGUAACACGUGAGUAACCUGCCCUUGACUUUGGGAUAACUUCAGGAAACUGGGGCUAAUACCGGAUAGGAGCUCCUGCUGCAUGGUGGGGGUUGGAAAGUUUCGGCGGUUGGGGAUGGACUCGCGGCUUAUCAGCUUGUUGGUGGGGUAGUGGCUUACCAAGGCUUUGACGGGUAGCCGGCCUGAGAGGGUGACCGGCCACAUUGGGACUGAGAUACGGCCCAGACUCCUACGGGAGGCAGCAGUGGGGAAUAUUGCACAAUGGGCGGAAGCCUGAUGCAGCAACGCCGCGUGCGGGAUGACGGCCUUCGGGUUGUAAACCGCUUUCGCCUGUGACGAAGCGUGAGUGACGGUAAUGGGGAAAGAAGCACCGGCUAACUACAG